rnacentral:rRNA from 1 species
GACGAACGCUGGCGGCGUGCUUAACACAUGCAAGUCGAACGGGCCCGCUCUCUUUUUUGGGGGUGGGUUGAGUGGCGAACGGGUGAGUAUCACGUGAGUAACCUGCCCCCUGCUCCUGGAUAACUGCUUGAAAGGGCGGCUAAUACGGGGUGUGCCGGCUGGUCCGCAUGGGCCUGGUCGGGAUAGUUUCAUCUUCGGGUGUUUCGGUGGGGGAUGGGCUCGCGGCCUAUCAGCUUGUUGGUGGGGGGAUGGCCCACCAAGGCGGUGACGGGUAGCCGGCCGGAGAGGGUGGGCGGCCACACUGGGACUGAGACACGGCCCAGACUCCUGCGGGAGGCAGCAGUGGGGGGUAUUGCACAAUGGGCGGAAGCCUGAUGCAGCGACGUCGCGUGAGGGAUGGAGGCCUUCGGGUUGUGAACCUCUUUCUCCGGUGGUGAAGGCCCUGUCCGUUGCGGCGGGGUUGACGGUAGCCGGGUAUGAAGCGCCGGCUAACUACGUG